rnacentral:rRNA from 1 species
ACACUCCUGCGGAGGCAGCAGUGGGGAAUAUUGGACAAUGGGCGCAAGCCUGAUCCAGCCAUGCCGCGUGAGUGAUGAAGGCCCUAGGGUUGUAAAGCUCUUUCACCGGUGAAGAUAAUGACGGUAACCGGAGAAGAAGCCCCGGCUAACUUCGUGCCAGCAGCCGCGGUAAUACGAAGGGGGCUAGCGUUGUUCGGAUUUACUGGGCGUAAAGCGCACGUAGGCGGACUAUUAAGUCAGGGGUGAAAUCCCGGGGCUCAACCCCGGAACUGCCUUUGAUACUGGUAGUCUUGAGUUCGAGAGAGGUGAGUGGAAUUCCGAGUGUAGAGGUGAAAUUCGUAGAUAUUCGGAGGAACACCAGUGGCGAAGGCGGCUCACUGGCUCGAUACUGACGCUGAGGUGCGAAAGCGUGGGGAGCAAACAGGAUUAGAUACCCUUGUAGUCCCAUGAU